UACGUAGGGGGCAAGCGUUGUCCGGAAUUAUUGGGCGUAAAGAGCGUGUAGGCGGUCCGGUAAGUCAGCUGUGAAAGUCAAGGGCUCAACCCUUGAAAGCCGGUUGAUACUGUCGGGCUAGAGUCCGGAAGAGGCGAGUGGAAUUCCCGGUGUAGCGGUGAAAUGCGCAGAUAUCGUAAGGAAGACCAGUGGCGAAGGCGGGUCGUCUGGACAGUUCCUGACACUGAGACACGAAGGCCAGGGGAGCAAACGGG
rnacentral:rRNA from 1 species